GCUAGUGGCCACCACAAUUUAUUUCAUAACUUUGACCUCAAAUCAGGUAGGACUACCCGCUGAACUUAAGCAUAUCAAUAAGCGGAGGAAAAGAAACAACAGGAUUGCCUUAGUAGCGGCGAGUGAAGCGGCAAAAGCUCAAAUUUGAAAUCUGGCUCUUUCAGAGUCCGAGUUGUAAUUUGAAGAAGGUAUCUUUGGGUCUGGCUCUUGUCUAUGUUUCUUGGAACAGAACGUCACAGAGGGUGAGAAUCCCGUGCGAUGAGAUGAUCCAGGCCUAUGUAAAGUUCCUUCGAAGAGUCGAGUUGUUUGGGAAUGCAGCUCUAAGUGGGUGGUAAAUUCCAUCUAAAGCUAAAUAUUGGCGAGAGACCGAUAGCGAACAAGUACAGUGAUGGAAAGAUGAAAAGAACUUUGAAAAGAGAGUGAAAAAGUACGUGAAAUUGUUGAAAGGGAAGGGCUUGAGAUCAGACUUGGUAUUUUGUAUGUUACUUCUUCGGGGGUGGCCUCUACAGUUUAUCGGGCCAGCAUCAGUUUGGGCGGUAGGAGAAUUGCGUUGGAAUGUGGCACGGCUUCGGUUGUGUGUUAUAGCCUUCGUCGAUACUGCCAGCCUAGACUGAGGACUGCGGUUUAUACCUAGGAUGUUGGCAUAAUGAUCUUAAGGCCCGCUGGAACACGGACCAAGGAGUCUACCGUCUAUGCGAGUGUUUGGGGUGUAAAACCCGUACGCGUAAUGAAAGUGAA
rnacentral:rRNA from 1 species